rnacentral:tRNA from 1 species
GGAGGGUUGCCCGAGUGGUCAAAGGGAGCAGACUGUAAAUCUGCCGGCUUUAUGCCUACGCUGGUUCAAGUCCAGCACCCUCCA